GUGUCAGCAGCCGCGGUAAAACCAGCACCUUAAGUGGUCAGGAUGAUUAUUGGGCCUAAAGCAUCCGUAGCCUGCUUUAUCAGUUUUCGGUUAAAUCCACACGCUCAACGUAUGGGCUGCCGGGAAUACUGUAAAGCUAGGGAGUGGGAGAGGUAGACGGUACUCGGGAGGAAGGGGUAAAAUCCUUUGAUCUCUCGAUGACCACCUGUGGCGAAGGCGGUCUACCAGAACACGUCCGACGGUGAGGGAUGAAAGCUGGGGGAGCAAACCAGAUUAGAUACCCGGGUAGUCCCAGCUGUAAACUAUGCAAACUCAGUGAUGCAUUGGCUUGAUGCCAAUGCAGUGUUGCAGGGAAGCCGUUAAGUUUGCCGCCUGGGAAGUACGUACGCAAGUAUGAAACUUAAAGGAAUUGGCGGGGGAGCACCACAAGGGGUGAAGCCUGCGGUUCAAUUGGAGUCAACGCCAGAAAUCUUACCCGGAGAGACAGCAGAAUGAAGGUCAAGCUGAAGACUUUACCAGACAAGCUGAGAGGUGGUGCAUGGCCGUCGCCAGCUCGUGCCGUGAGAUGUCCUGUUAAGUCAGGUAACGAGCGAGAUCCUUGCCUCUAGUUGCCACCAUUAUUCUCAGGAGUAGUGGGGCGAAUUAGCGGGACCGCCGUAGUUAAUACGGAGGAAGGAAGGGGCCACGGCAGGUCAGUAUGCCCCGAAACUCUGGGGCCACACGCGGGCUGCAAUGGUAACGACAAUGUGUUCCGAAUCCGAAAGGAGGAGGUAAUCCUCAAACGUUACCACAGUUAUGACUGAGGGCUGCAACUCGCCCUCACGAAUAUGGAAUCCCUAGUAACUGCGUGUCAUUAUCGCGCGGUGAAUACGUCCCUGC
rnacentral:rRNA from 1 species